ensembl:lncRNA
GGACCAGCUCCUCCACCUGGAGAUGGCCGUGCUGCAGAGCCUGCAGGCCGGGGACAGGAGGGUGGGCCGUGCUGUGUAAGGAAGUCAAGGAAUGUUUCUCAAGAGGUGGCUUCAGCCUCAUACCUUUGAGAGAACUUGGUCUUCCGCCCGACACCGUCCCUGGGACCCAGGCCAGUCUGCAGAGCCAGGAACAGCCCCGCCACUUGUAAAACUCCCAUCCACCCGCUCUCAGGGACCCUGGUCAAGCAGCUACUGCAGGCCAAAGUUCCGUGCCUGGAGCUGGGAGUAAGCUAAGUUACCACCGCUUCCUCAGAGAGUUCCCAGGUUAGGGCCGGAUACAUAAACAGACAAUGUAACAACGGCAACAAAGAGCCAAGAAUCCUCUCCCUGCUGGGUACACCUUCCUCAGUGCUCUGUCUGCCCUUAACUCAUUUAAUGCGAAGAACAGACACAGCUCUGGUGCAGUGGGCGCUCACCCAGUUCUGUGCUGGGACCAUGCCCUGGGAGGGAGGCAUGUGCGUUUGACAGCUGAGGGGCGGGUUGAGGAUCUCAGCUUCCUUAGAGAACUGAAGAAACCUGCUCAAGGCCGUGUGUUUGCAGCUGGCCAGCUGGGGGACCCCCAUUCAUCUGGCCCCUGCUCUCGGGUUGGGGGGGAGCGGCGGGAGGUGUUCAUUCUUGCUCCCCGACCUGGUAUCGGGUUGGGGGACCCCUUGAGCCCCAGGAAGGACAGGUUCCUACAAAAGGAAGACCCCCAGAGCCACCCUAUUGCUGAGAGGACCAGCCUCCCAUCUCCUUUGUCACUGCCCACGUGUGGGCCCGUCCGUGGCUCAGACCCUGUGCCUUGGCAGGCCGCUUGGGGGGGCUUCCACUCACCCCCACGCCCCCUGCCAGCCUUGCUGAGCUGCUGCAGAUUGUUCUCCUUGUCGCCUGCCUGCUCCACCGUGCGGCGUAAUAAAUGGCUAACAGAGGGCCCCCAUUCUCUGGGACCGCCUUCUCCAUUUCUUGGCCCCUUCAGAGAACCUGAUACCCCCCUCCACCCCAGGUGAACCCUAUUCAGCAGGCUUCCGGCAGUGGUAACUAAGCCGGGCGCCCAGCCCACCACCUGCUCAGUACUUUAUAAAAGUUUAACCUUAAUGGUGUAAUGAACUCCCAUCAUAAAGCGGCUGGAGCAGUGCAUCCUGAGAUGUAUAAAUUACAGGCGCCUCUGAAGUUGUAAUUGGAAAUGGCAGCAAGGGGAAGGUUGAAAGGGGCCAGCCUCAUUGGGCUGAGCACAGAUAUUCUCUGCUGCCUUUCAAAAGGCACACAGAGCUGAGUCUGGCUGCGAAGAAAGAAUGUCCUCAGACCAAACUGAGCUCCUGGUAGCUCCACCCCAGUUCCCGCUUCCUGCCCCCCCAACCCCCGACCGAGUCCACAGAGCCUGUAGGUUUCAGGAGGCGCAACCCCCACCCAGACCGGGGCCACCAACACAGUGGGCCCAGAGGGAAGGAUGUGGGCGUGGACACAGCAGACAGCCCACCCCCCAGCCCCGCCUGCAUUUCCCGGGGAGCACUUCUGAGCAGUUGGGUUGACUCCCCUGGUCUCUGAGGUCUCACCUCUUGCCAUGAUUGUGGGGCUUGAACAGAAAACUGCAGGGGGUGUUGAGAGUUGGAGUGAGGAACCCGGGCUCUGGGGCUGGACUGUCCGGCUUCCUGUUGCAGCCCCUGCUGGUGGCACUUGGGAGACCUUAACAAUGUCACGUAACCUCACAGCUGCAGAAUCUUGGCUGUAAAAUCAGGAAUUGACCUGCAUCAGAGGAAUAUCAGAAGGAUGACACGGGAUGACGGGGUUCAGGUCUCAGCAAAGUGCCGCUUUAGGGACUUCCCUGGUGGUCCGGUGGUUGGGACCCCACGCUUCCACUGCAGGGGUCACGGGUUCCAUUCCCGGCUGGAGAACUAAGAUCCUGCAGAUUCCCUCUGAGGCCGAGUGGGGCCCAGACCUGCCCCCUGGGACGAGGCUCUCGGACCACACCUUGAGCAGCUGGGGCAGUGUUCAGGCCCUCAGAAGUGCUCGCUCAGUGCCUGCUGUGACUGCCCUUCCAGGCACGGUGCCCAGCACCUGCACUUGCCCACUACACUUGCUCACAGUGCCCACACCAGUUUAAUUUGAGUGCUUCUGAGUGUGGCCCAUGAACCAGUGGCAACGCCUGAAAACAGGUUAGAAAGGUCAGAAUCUCAGGGCGCCCUUCCCCACCCCCCACUAAAUCAGAAUCUCCGGAGGGGGGCCCAGGACUCUGCAGUUCGAGCAGCUCUGAGGUGCCUCCUCGGCUCACUCGGGGAAGAGAAGCAUGGCUGGGCCUCAUCCUCUCCAGGAGGGCAUCUCUCAAUGCCAGGAAGCUCACCCAGCCUCAGAAUCGCCUGGGGUUGACCUUGAUGGCCUUGAUGGGCUCAGCUGUAGGCUCC